CGUUCGUUUCUUUUGUUUCAGAAGACAUAAUCGGAGUUCAUUGCACGCAUGGUAUAAAUCGCACCGGAUACCUCAUUUGUAGAUAUCUUGUGCAACAAUUAGGGUGGGACCCUCAAGAGAGUUUAAAAGGCAUGUGAUUUUUAUAGUUUUCUAUUUCGGACGAUCGUAUUCGAUACAUAUUUUUCAAUCGAUCAAUCAAUCAAUCAAUACAGGUUGACGUCUAUCGU